UUAGACUUAUUUGGAUAUAUUGUUACUUAGACUUAUUACCAGUUUGUGAAUGGGUGGAUUAUAGAAAUUGAGAGACAUAAGAAUUACUAUGUAAGUUGUUACAAAGUUAAAUUUUUUUUAUCUAACACCCGGUAUUCUUUUUUCAAUUAGGAAAAUAUGUUGAUUUUUUUGGAACAUGUAGGAGUCAUAAAAGGCAAAAUUUUUAGGAUGAUGGUUUAUUGUUGGAGUCUUUAAUACAACUGGAGGUUUUUUAUUUUGUAUUUGGUUUGACUUCUUUUGGUUGAUGAGUGGAGGUAUUUUUAGUUGAUAUUUAUUUCAUGGUACGAUAUCUAACUAGUUUGUUUGUUUUGGUUUGUGCGUGUAUGUUCGAUUGUAGGCCAUGAAAGUUGCGUACGUCACUGAGUUUGGAAGUGAUGAGACGGAUCUUGGUGAUGAGAUUUGGACUCUAGUUUAUUGUUGUUUUCUCGUGAACCGCAUGUUUGAAUCGACCAUUAAUCCUCGUGUUCAUCUAAUGAUGUUUGUUUUGAACUGAUACGCAGUUACCAGAUCACAGUUGCCUUGGUGAAGACGAAAUACCAAGAGUUGGGAUGCGGUUUGAGCAUUUGAAAUUGGCUCAGGAAUUUUAUGCGGAUGUUAAGGAGAUGUUGAAUUAUUUCAUGCGAAUGAAGAAGAUAAAUCUGAACUUCUUUUAUGCAAUGAAUGUGGACGAUGAUUAUAAGUUUAGGAGUGCAGUUUGGGUGGAUGCAAGGUGUAGGACAUCUUAUGAAUAUUAUGAGACGUGGUGUCGUUUGAUACCACAUACAACACGAACCGGCAUAAUUGCCGUUCGCCUAUUUCGUCAGUAUGAACCACCAUGAUAAGUCUACUUUGCUAGGCUGUGAUCUGCUAGGGAAUGAAGAGAUUCCAAGUUUUGAGUGGGUUUUCACGCAAUGGAUGAAGUGCAUGGGUACUGCACUGUAGGACAUCAUCACAGACCAGUGCAGGUCCAUGUUUGGUGCAAUUAGGAAGGUCGUACCCCAAACACGCCGUCAAUGGUGCAUCUAGCAUAUAUUGAAAAAGUUACCGCAUAAGUUUGGAGGUUAUGCUCGGUUCAGAGAGUUGAAUGUUGAGCUGAACCACAUUGUGUGGAACUCUCAGUCGGUUGAGGCUUUCGAGGAUGGUUGGACUGAAUUCAUAAAUGAGUUCAACCUACAUCACAAUACAUGGCUAUCAGACCUAUUUGAAGACCGACGUAUGUGGGUGCCGAUCUUUUUCAAGGGUGAAUUUUGGGUUGCUAUGAUGAGUACGCAAAGGAGUGAGAGUAUGAACGCAUUCUGUGGUGGAUUCUUACAUAGCAAGACUAGCUUGGUUCAGUUCGUCCACGAGUUCGACAAUGUGCUUGGAAACAAGGAGCAGAAGGAACUGGAGGAUGAUGCUGCAGACUUGAGAAGAAUAAUCCCAUGUGCAACUGGCUCAGCUAUUGAGAGACAAUUUCAAUAAGAGUAUACCAACGACGUGUUUAGGAAUGUCCAAACAGAGUUUCGCAAAAAGGGUGAUUGCAAUAUCUAUGCAAUUUAUGAAUAAGGUGACUCGGUCUGGGUAAAAGUGGAAGAGAAAAAAUUAGCCAGAUGAGAAUACCCGGUAUGUUACGUACCACGUCCAUUUUGACCGGUCGACUCACAAGGUUCGAUGUGAGUGCAACUUGUUCGAGAGUUCAGAUAUAUUGUGUUGCCACUAUCUUGUAGUGUUUUCCUCUUACAAAGUGAAUAGAGUUCCUUCUUGCUAUGUUCUCACUCGUUGGAGCAAGAACAUAAAGCGCAAGCAUACCUACAUUAAGAGUAGCCACGACGUGAGACGUUAGACGUUCGGAUGAGAGCCAUAACUUAUUCAGAGGGUUGUGUGCACACUUCUACAACGUUGCACAGGAAUUUGUGAAUUGUGAUGAUGAAGCAGCCAUGUUGCAUACUGCUCUGGAUGAUGCAAGGGCCAAGCUCGUUGAUUACAGUGCCAAGUUGCGGAACAAGACUGUCGCUAAUGUCCCUAAUAGCAUGGCCACACAGAGUUCCUUCGUGGUGGGGGACAGAGGACAUACAAGGCCCAUCAAAGGUCACCACAAAGGGUCGUCCAAAAAGUAAAAGGCUCGGAUCUGAGUUGGAGAAGUCGAUCAAGAAAUCCAUGAGGAGGAAGCGGAAGAAAUCAGGCCUGGAUAAUCGUGUAGAAUCUUCUGGAACAUAGAGUUGGAUGCUUCCGAUGGGCAGAUUGUUCCGCAAGGAUUUAGUUGUUUCAUGUCCCUGUUAAACUCGUUUGGCAAUACCUAGUCUGUGUUGGAUAUGGAAUCUGCUAUAUUAUAUUAGAGGUCCUUUUUAUUAGGUGUUCUGACUCAAUAUGUAUGUUGAUGGUCAUUUUGUAUUCUGAGUUUUUGACGGUUAGAUGUGUAUGAAACUGGUAUUCUGUUUGUUGUCUUCUUGCUAUAUGCACAUGGUCGGUGUGUUUCUGUUUUUAUGUGGUUUGACUGGAUUUAGGCUAAUGUUUUAUGAAUUCAUGUUUUGUUAGAGUUAUUAGAUGCAUACAUAAGUGAUUAGGCUAGAAUAUUUUGUCAACAUACAUUGAGUAUAUGGGGUAUAUUAUUAGAAGCAUAUUAAAAUGUUGCUAAAUCCUACUUAAUCAUGUCAUUUUGAGUUCACCAGGUAUACGGAUGGUUAGUAUUAUACUCAUGUGGCUGGCUUGAUUACGUAGUUUCUAGUAACAUAUGUCAGAUGUUCAUUUCAAUUGGUAUGCAGAUGGUUAUUUUGUUUCUUAAUUAGAUGGUUAUUCUUGUUGACUUGUUUUACUCGUACACAGUUAACAAUGGCUGGAGAUGGCUGGAUAUUUAACUCAGUAG